rnacentral:rRNA from 1 species
UACGGGGGGAGCAAGCGUUGUUCGGAUUUACUGGGCGUAAAGGGCGCGUAGGCGGCCACCGCAGGUCAGUUGUGAAAUCUCUGGGCUUAACCCAGAAAGGUCAACUGAUACUGCGGGGCUAGAGGGCAGAAGGGGCAACUGGAAUUCUCGGUGUAGCGGUGAAAUGCGUAGAUAUCGAGAGGAACACCUGCGGCGAAGGCGGGUUGCUGGGCUGACACUGACGCUGAUGCGCGAAAGCUAGGGGAGCGAACGGG